rnacentral:rRNA from 1 species
AAAAACAUAGCCUUUAGCCCCAAACAAGUAUUAAAGGUAUCGCCUGCCCAGUGAUCUUAUUUCAACGGCCGCGGUAUCCUAACCGUGCAAAGGUAGCGUAAUCAUUUGUCUCCUAAAUAGAGACUAGUAUGAACGGCUAACUGAGGGCCCAACUGUCUCCUAAGGCUAAUCAAUGAAACUGAUCUUCCAGUACAAAAGCUGAAAUAAACACAUAAGACGAGAAGACCCUGUGGAGCUUUAAAUUUAUACUAUAAACCCAAGAACAAUUACUUCCUCCCCCAAAACAAUAGUAAAAAUUUUUAGUUGGGGCGACUUCGGAAUAAAACAAAACUUCCAUGCCAGGGAUCCCACCCCUACCAAGGCAGACAUGCCAAAAUAUAAGUUCUUUUGACCCAGCAUAUCUGAUCAACGAACCAAGUUACCCCAGGGAUAACAGCGCCAUCCUCUUCAAGAGUCCCUAUCGACAAGAGGGUUUACGACCUCGAUGUUGGAUCAGGACACCCCGGUGGUGCAACCGCUACCAAAGGUUCGUUUGUUCAACGAUUAACAGU